UACGUAGGGGGCAAGCGUUGUCCGGAAUCAUUGGGCGUAAAGCGCGUGUAGGCGGCUCGGUAAGUCUGCUCUGAAAGUCCAAGGCUCAACCUUGGGAUGCGGGUGGAUACUGCCGAGCUCGAGUCCGGAAGAGGCGAGUGGAAUUCCUGGUGUAGCGGUGAAAUGCGCAGAUAUCAGGAGGAACACCAAUGGCGAAGGCAGCUCGCUGGGACGUGACUGACGCUGAGACGCGAAAGCGUGGGGAGCAAACAGG
rnacentral:rRNA from 1 species